UGAGGAAUAUUGCACAAUGGGCGCAAGCCUGAUGCAGCAACGCCGCGUGCGGGACGAAGGCCUUCGGGUCGUAAACCGCUUUUCUGGGGGAAGAGCAAGGACGGUACCUCAGGAAUAAGUCUCGGCUAACUACGUGCCAGCAGCCGCGGUAAAACGUAGGAGGCGAGCGUUAUCCGGAUUUACUGGGCGUAAAGCGCACGCAGGCGGCUCUGUUAGUCGGACGUGAAAGCUCUCGGCUUAACCGGGAGAGGCCGUUCGAUACUGCGGGGCUUGAGGUAGGGAGAGAAAUGCGGAAUUCCCGGUGUAGUGGUGGAAUGCGUAGAUAUCGGGAGGAACACCUGUGGCGAAAGCGGCAUUCUGGCCCUCACCUGACGCUGAGGUGCGAAAGCGUGGGUAGCAAACA
rnacentral:rRNA from 1 species